AUUAAUCCUGCGGUGGAGCAAGGAGCUGAAAGGGAGGAAGAGACAGACCAGGGAUAGUGUUUCUAUGUUAGGAUCAUGGCUUUACUGGGCCAUUCCAAAAAGACACCAGGCCCUGUCUGUGAAGAGCUUCUUCCAGAUUUUCAUUGGCCUCUUCCAGAAUGCAAACUGCUGGCAGACGUUACCCUUGUUAAAUGCACUAGAUUUAUUUUAUUUUAUUUUAGCCUGGCUAAGAGUGUUUAGAUCUUUACCUAGGAAUGGAAAGCUGAAGGCUGUUCAUCAGAAGUGGUAAUGGAAGGAGGCUGCAGGGUGGCUCACAGAAAACCCCAGAAUUUGUGCCAGAUGCUGUGGGAGUCUAGUGUGCCAAGACCCCCCACUCCUGCUGUGAUGAGCAACCGGAAUUGAAGACAGACGGAGCCCACGAACAAAUUUAUACAGAGAGCUUACAGAUCACAAGAGAAGAGUGUGUGCCUGAGUUUCCAGGCUGCAGGCAUACAUGGCUUGAUGAGCUAGCGCUAACUGAGCAGUUAUGGUCAUAUUCCUCAGAGCAGUGCUAAGUGGAAAAGUCAUUUAUUUUCUCCAGCCUUUCCUGUCAACCCGUCCUGCAACUGCUGAAUUAGAGUAGGAGAAAUACUUUUUAAGAUAUGCACUCUCAAAAAUAAUGUAAACUGUCCACCCUGUUGAUUCAUUUUUAUCAACAGAUGAAUUUCAGUUUUAAAGCCAGUUCUGGGAUUCUAAUUCUUCUAAACAGAAUGAGGCAUCACGUACUGCAUUUAUGGAUCUAAAUACAAGCUUCAUACCACACUAAUAGCUGGGGAUUCUUUUAGCAAAUGUCUUGAUGAACUGGUGUGAAAAUGUUUCCAUUCAAGCCAAAUACCUGCUUUGUGGCAUAGCUGCUUGUGAACAUCUCUACUUGCAUUAUGUGAAGUUUUUGAACAGACUAUUUGGAUGAACACUUUAUUGAGCCUUCUUUUUGGAUGCAAGAAAACUGUUCUUCAGGGAGUCUUUAAACUGGCAUUUCUUCCUAAGGUCCCAGUUUGACCGCUUAUUGAGUGUUUGUACCAGAGCAUCAGAACAAAGAGCCUGUGAACCAAGAAAUGUGGAGUUGCUCUUGAAUCUCUUGAAAUACCCCUGUAUCUUCUGUACUCUCUUACACAGGAUAUGAUUGAGACAAAGUAGGUUCACUACUUCGGGUUCACUACAUAGAGGUACUUUGUGGCUACUGGCAACUACAGCUUCCCCUGAGGUUGCAUGAAACUUGGUCAGAGAAAAACAAAAGCAGACUUGUGCAAAGGUGGUCAUUUUUUUGCAAUUAUUUCCUCAGAAGAACUUCUUCAUUACAGCUGAAGACUGGAGAUUGAAAAUGUAAUUGUUGGCUCCGCUUGUGGUCUAGCAGGAUGCUCAAGUGCUAUCCUGCGCUGCUUUAGGCACUAAAACCUCUUGACCUUCCAUCUGGAACAAUUACAUGGAGUUCUGCAUAAGAGGCACAUCUGCUACUCAAGCUGAGACUUUGUUGCAUGAGGACUGCCAUUCCCAGUUCAGAAGACAUUUGCUUAUCCAACCAAGUUAUAACUCCAGUUUCCUUUUUACAAACAUCUGUUUGGAGACUGUGAAGUCUCCCUGGAUGUGAGGCAGUAGAAAGCUGCUUCAGACAUUUUCAUGCGGUAGCCAAUUUCCUAUCUGAAAUUCUGCAAGCUCAAUGACAUUACUUACUCACUGUAGCGUUGCUUGUUUCUGCAAAAUCCUUAAAUGACUAUUUCAUAAAUUGAAGAAAGGAAUCAGGAUACUGCAAAAAAGAAAAAUUUGAACUCAGUAUUAUUUCCUCAGUAUGAUAGGUCUGUGUGUUACAGUUCUUGUUAGGCAGCAGAAAGAAUAUUGUGUGAAAUACCUGAGCAGUAAGAAAAUGUUUCUAAUAGUGUUACAAAAAUUACUCUCUUGGCAGUGGCUGUCUUUUAUGUAUGGUUGUAAAGAGACCUUACUUAGAUAAACACAGUGCAGUGUUGGAAAACAAAGCUGUAAAAAAUUUUAGCAGGUUUUCUUAUGAGUAUAAAAAUUAAAUUAUUGCCACCAACACUUUAUCAGAAACAUUCAUUAACAGUAUAAAAUAUUGUACUCUCCGUAAGUAAAGAAGCAUUAUUUUUACUUGCCAGUGUUUUCUGAUGUGGGAAGUCUUUGUCCAAGCACCUUCAUGUCCUUCACAGCUUGUCUGUUGUGAUGUUGGUGAGACUGAUGGAGGUGAGAAUAUUUAAGUGAAAAAUAUGUAUCUUCUUUUUUAAAAUAUUUCUUUAGGUUAUCUUAUCUUACUGCUGAAAUCUACUCAGUGCAAUAGAUGUACCUCCUCUCAUUUGGGCACUCUUUCAGAGUCCAGGACAUUCACAUCAACAGAAUUACACUGAUAUAACAAGUAUAACGUAUAACAUAAAUAUAACAUAUAACUAGGAGGAGAGAAGCUGGUCUAGGAUUCAUAGAAUCCAUUGAUAUUACCAUAUACUUUUCUUCCCAUAAGCUAACACAUCACUUAACCAGUUUCCUUCAGGCAGCUGAUAAAAAAACAAGACAGCGGUGUUCACAUUUUGUGAACAAUCGACACCGUUCUGAAAUGAGUGAUACUUCCCUCUUACACAGCAGACUUAUGCUUGAAGAUGUAACUUUGAGCUUAGAAUGUGUCUUAGUUUUUCACUUUAAGUAUAGAAGCAGCAAUAACAAAAUCUUUAGAGUGCUCACAUCACCAACGUGUGGAUGCAUUUCUUCUGUUCUAGUGUUACUCUUGAGUAGUGGAAAGGCUGUUAGAAAAACCUUUUCUGAACAUCUGGUUUGUACCUGUCAAGACUGACAGGUAGUCUUCUUACACUGAAGUACUACAGCAGGGUGCUAAAUAUGCAGUUAUUCUUCUCUACUGGCUGCAAAGUGCUUUAAGAUAAGUGAUAACAUUUCAUCUAACAAAUCAUUCUCCUCUUCACAUUCUAAUUUGUGUGAAUAUUCACAGUAAAAGAGCUGACACAGGUAGGAAAAUAAGACACAACUUACGUAGUAUUAGAUAUUGCAAUGAGACAUCUACUAGGGCCUACUAUGACUGAGUAUCACGCAGAUAGUUUGUAUCAAAUGAUUCAGACAUCUAGGGCUGGACUUCCUCCAGAUUUUAGUAGCAACUGUUUGCCAGAUGUUUUCUCCCUUUGUGCUUGUAAAACUACAUAUGCAUGACAUCAGCAGUCUUAGAUGCAGCUGGACAGCCUUGGUGGGAUUGUGUCUUCAUUGACAACUGGGGCAGCUAAAACAAACAGAUUCCUAAUGUAGGCACCCUUUCAUGUUCCUGGAGUUAGACAAACUAGGUCCAGACUGUAAUAUGCCUUCCAAUAAAGUAGAUUCAGAACUGUGUAUUUUAAGUGCUCUCACCCACAAAUCCAUAUAUAAGGCAUAGUGAUCUAUGUACAAAGAAAUAUGUAGAAAUAGCACUCUAAUAUUUGUAGUCUAACUGAAUGUUGAGUAGCAGAUAAAAAAGAAAGACUGCAUAAACAACCUCAUUUCUAAAAAAUGUGGCUAGUACUGCUUCCAUAGUCACAUAAAGCAGUGUAUCAAUUUAUUUAAUGGGAGAAGAGCUUGGUCGUCUUGGUAGAGUUUUCCAAAACAUCAUAACGUGUUAGGCUUUAAAAGAUCUUAUAAGUAUCUGAAAAUUCUAUACUGGACAGAUAAUGUUGGGCAGUGCUUAACAGCAUGUCUGCUAGAUGGGAGUCCUCUUGACUAGAAACUGUGAAGAGACUGAAAUCAAACAUUUUAAAGAGUGAUGUCCUUAUAACAGCUGGCUGAAUUUUAAGGAUUGUGCAAUUAUGACCAUCAGUAGAAUACAUUUCCUUUUACACACUGAGAAAAUUCCUCCACUCAUGAUAAACAGCAGCCCUGAUACAGGAUGAACGCACCUCCCAUUUGUAGUACUUCAUAUGUGCUAUUCAGUAGAAUAAUUAAAUCAUUACUGUACUCUUGUACCAUAUGUGAGGACAGCUUCUAAUGCUGUGAUUUAUUUUUGUUUGCUUUAAUGAAGAUGUUUCCUCUGUAGAACAUCCAAGAGAUAGCAAGACCUACCUAAAGAGAUGUGUGAAUUAUUUAAGGAUAAUAUACUAGAUUAGGAAUUUUUAAUGUCAAAGAAAUAUUUUGAAUGCACUGCCUGCAUUCACCAGACUCACUUUUGCAUGCAUUGAAUAUGGAAGCUGUCAAACGUGUUGAAAUUCUGACAUUUUUCUGAGUUAAGUAUUUCGUUUUUUGACAGUCCAGUUUGGUUUCUCAGUCCUGCAUCCCUGCUUCACUGAGCAAAGGAUGAUGCUAUGUUUGGCUUAGUUCAUUUUGAAGUCUCCAGUGGUCAUAACCCAUAAACCUGAGUGACACAGGGCCAUCAAUCAACACAAGAUGACUCUUGUCUAAGCUUUGAAUUCUUGAAGCUAUCUUUGCAUAUGAUGUUCACAGUGCAACUUGUAGAAUACCAAUCAUUUUUAUAAUGUGAUAGUGGAGCUCUGAGAUUUGAGUUUCUACCCACAUCUCCAGAUUCUGAACAUUUAGCUGGCGAGUGACCUGCUUGACAGCACUUUUUCCUCAGCCAGAGAGUUUUGCAUGUAAGAAUGAAUGUCUCUAAGCCUUCUUGAAAUGUAUUUAAAUGUCACUGCUUUUAACCAGUAAGCCAUGACCAGUUCUUUGGUGGCUUAACAGUCACACUCUAAAGGCGAUUUUCUUCAGAUUUAAAAUUAAUGUUACUAAAUGGUAGUUAAAAGCUGGCAAAUUAAAAUAGUGAUAGAGUCUUCUUACUAUUUGCAUGUAUCUACGCUCAUUUCCAGAUUUUACAUUACUAUCUUUUGUACCUUUUCCAUAGAUUUUCUAAGGUAACUGAAGGAGAAUAAAAUCUCUUGGCUCAUAUAAACCAUUUAAAAACACUGACCUAAGCAGCACAGUUUGCUCUACUCCAAAAACUAGACCUAGAGUUUGCCAACACACUCAACUAUGAUUUAUUCCAUCAGAAGUUUGGUGGCUUUUGUUAUCAAGCAGCUUAGGAGUUUCUGUGUCCACAUGGUCAAUUUGAGAAGGUUGUUCAGAACUACUAAUCACUGUUAAAAAUUGCACCAUGUGAUCUCCAACUACUAUGAGGAAAGGUAGUUGAGAUGGGAAUAAAAGUUUUGUCUAGGAUUCAGCAGGGGAGUUAGGCAACCGGCUGAUUCAGUACUUUCUGAAAUCCCGUGAUAUUUGAUUUCACUGAUUUUUGUAACGUCAGCUUAUGAUUGAAGUAAAACCUUUCUGUAAGCACUUGUUGUUUUGGAGCUGAAAGUUUGAGGACAAAUCUUUCUCUACUUUUUUUUUUUCCUCUCUAAAGAAGUUGUUCAUUUUUUCCUCUCAUUCAUAGCCUAAUCGAGAGUUUUAAUUAAGCUUUCAUUGUAAAUAGUCUACUAAACAUGAUCAGUGAGCUUGCCUUUCUGUUCCAAAGUAUUCGUAUUUUUAAACCACGAAGUCACAUCCCUGUGCAACUGCGGCUUCUCCUUCAUCUUCUUUG
ensembl:lncRNA